AGCGAACGCUGGCGGCAGGCUUAACACAUGCAAGUCGAGCGGGCCCUUCGGGGUCAGCGGCGGAUGGGUGAGUAACGCGUGGGAACGCGCCUUCUGGUCUGGAAUAACCCUGGGAAACUAGGGCUAAUACCGGAAACGCCCCUUUGGGGAAAGGUUUACUGCCGGACGAUCGGCCCGCGUUUGAUUAGCUAGUGGGUGGGGUAACGGCCUACCAAGGCGACGAUCAGUAGCUGGUCUGAGAGGAUGAUCCGCCACACUGGGACUGAGACACGGCCCAGACUCCUACGGGAGGGGGGAGUGGGGAAUAUUGGACAAUGGGCGCAAGGAUGAUCCAGCCAUGCCGGGUGAGUGAUGAAGGCGUUAGGGUUGUAAAGCUCUUUUAUCCGGGACGAUAAUGACGGUACCGGAGGAAUAAGCCCCGGCUAACUUCGUG
rnacentral:rRNA from 1 species